rnacentral:lncRNA from 1 species
UAAGUGAAAAUUUGUUACGAAAUCUAGAGAUUUUGAACUGGCGUAUAGAUCGCUGUAUACCUUUAAGUCAAAGAUAAACACAGCUUGUCCUUAAGUGUCCUUGUUCAUUUAAUACACAGAGAAGUCUUGUCCAAAUAUAAACGUGAGAUCUCUCUUUGAGUCAUCUGUGUAAACCAACUGGAUAUCUGCUCUGUCAUCUGGUCACACACUUGACCACCUGGGCAUAUUUGGGUCGUCACAGUUUAAAGGAUCUUGACAGUCGUCAUCGCGGGCAUUGACUGCGGAGUGACUUUAUUCAAAGUCGUGAAAAACUUGAAACAGUGUGGAGUCAUUAAAGGACAUGGUUUGAAAAGGUGCAUAAUGAUACUUCAUCGUUUAAUUAGCCGUAAACUGAUUUGACGGGCAGGAUCAUUUUAAAGCUGAAUGGACCUCUUUGUUGCUUUUAAAGGAAGAAGCUUGAGUGUGUUUUUGUGUCAGUGUUAUUUUUGCCUUGUAAAAAGGAUGUUUUAAAAGAUUUUUUUGCCUUCUGGAGAUUUUGUAUAGUGUUGACGGAAAAGGGGAAAUUACAUUAAUUGAUGACGUUUUGAUCUAGAGAAAAUGGAAAGCGUUUAAUUAAUCAAUUUUCUUUCUUGGAUUUUACUAGCCAAAAGAGGAUUAAAACAUGAUUCAGUGAUUUAAAAUGGAAUAAAGCAAGCAGUGAGACAUAUAAAGUGGAUUACGUUUGAUUAACUAAUUCUACAUGCGGGAGAUAAAGCUAUUCUCAUCAUUAAAGGGGAAAAAAGAAGCGAGUUUUUGUG